ACGCCCUUCCUGGGCCCCGGGGCCGUCCGCCAGGCGGUCAGGGGCCGGGGAGCCCUCGAAACGCCGCAGGGUCACCCGAGUUCGCGCGCCUGGCCAGUGAAGUGAGGCCGCCGCGCCCCGCUUCCCGGCCCGCGCCCGCUCCCGCUCCGCCCGGGACCCCGGACCUCACCUCGCGUCGCCACCGCAGACCCGAGGGCCGAGCCGCUGCUUCCGCCGGGGCCGCGGGGCGAGGCGGGUCCAGGGGCGGGGGCGGGACUCGGGGGCGGGGCUUAGGCGGCGGAGCCCGGCGCGGCCCGGAGGCCCAGGUCUGGUAGCCCUCGCCCACCCGACCCCCACGGCGGGACACCAGCCCCAGGGACCGGCCUGCCCUUCAUCCCUCCUCGGCCUGGCGCAGGGCCUUUUUCUGAGCCGUGCGCCGAGCCAAAGCUCCCAGGCCAGUCAGGGAGUUUCCCAGAGCACAGAAAUAAAAAUACCUGAGACACGCCAGACAGGAGAGGGUGGAAGUGACCAUCGGUUAUCUGCAGUGGCUGUGAUGAACUGGACGAGCCAGUAAGCAGCGGCAAAGACCAGCCUGAAGCCUCAACCAGCAAGCCUCCUGGGCCCUAAGGGACGAUGGCGCUGACCUCGUCCGACCCUCCUGACUCCGAUCGAAUAAAGCUGGGGCUCUGUGGGAAGACACUGCUUUGGGAAAGAACCCCCGUGUUCUCCUUACUUGCUGCAAGUAAUAAUAAAUCCUUCCUUCUCCCGA